rnacentral:rRNA from 1 species
UACGAAGGGGGCUAGCGUUGCUCGGAAUCACUGGGCGUAAAGGGUGCGUAGGCGGGUUUUUAAGUCAGAGGUGAAAUCCUGGAGCUCAACUCCAGAACUGCCUUUGAUACUGAAAGUCUUGAGUAUGGGAGAGGUGAGUGGAACUGCGAGUGUAGAGGUGAAAUUCGUAGAUAUUCGCAAGAACACCAGUGGCGAAGGCGAAUCUCUGGACAGUUACUGACACUGAGGCACGAAGGCCAGGGGAGCAAACGGG